rnacentral:rRNA from 1 species
UACAGAGGUCUCAAGCGUUGUUCGGAUUCAUUGGGCGUAAAGGGUGCGUAGGCGGCGCGGUAAGUCGGGUGUGAAAUCUCGGAGCUUAACUCCGAAACUGCAUUCGAUACUGCCGUGCUCGAGGACUGGAGAGGAGACUGGAAUUUACGGUGUAGCGGUGAAAUGCGUAGAUAUCGUAAGGAAGACCAGUGGCGAAGGCGGGUCUCUGGACAGUUCCUGACGCUGAGGCACGAAGGUCAGGGGGAGCAAACGGG